rnacentral:rRNA from 1 species
GAUGAACGCUGGCGGCGUGCCUAAUACAUGCAAGUCGAGCGAACAGACGAGGAGCUUGCUCCUCUGACGUUAGCGGCGGACGGGUGAGUAACACGUGGAUAACCCACCUAUACGACUGGGAUAACUUCGGGAAACCGGAGCUUACACCGGAUAAUAUAUUGAACCGCAUGGUUCAAUAGUGAAAGACGGUUUUGCUGUCACUUAUAGAUGGAUCCGCGCCGCAUUAGCUAGUUGGGAAGGUAACGGCUUACCAAGGCAACGAUGCGUAGCCGAGCUGAGAGGGGGAUCGGCCACACGGGAACGUGGACACGCUCCAGACUCCUACGGGAGGCAGCAGUAGGGAAUCUUCCGCAGUGGGCGAAAGCCUGACGGAGCAACGCCGCGUGAGUGAUGACGGUCUUCGGCUCGUAAAACUCUGUUAUUAGGGAAGAACAGAUGUGUAAGUAAAUAUGCACGUCUUGACGGUACCUAAUCAGAAAGCCACGGCUAACUACGUG